rnacentral:lncRNA from 1 species
UGGAGGUUCUGUGCAAUUGGGGAAAUGUGCAAAGAUACUUGGAAAUGAAGCCAAAUUUUUUUCAGCCCUUUUCCCACUGGAAAUCAGGCCCAAGGUCUUAUGAAAACAGACUUUCUUUUCAAACAUCAGGAGGAAAUACUGCAAGAAGGAUGCCCAUGGCACUUUGAAUGUUCCGGAUCCACCAAUAUCAGAAAGAUUGUGUCUACGGCCAUACCAUCCUGAACACACCGGAUCUCAUCUGAUACAAAUUGUAAGUGCAGAGAAUGGCUAACAGAGGAGCUAGAGUCGGAGGGCAACAGGGAAAGCCAUUCAAGGUAAGGAG